UUGCCAACUACUACCUUUUAACGGGAAUUUUCCUAUAUAUACAAUUUAAAUUAAAAACAGGUAAUAUUUUCAUUUUAUGUGAGAUAAAUCUCUAUAAAUAAUAUGAUAAUAAAAAAAGAAGAAAUAAAAGAUUAAACCAACGGUAACAAAAUUUUGAAAAGGUUACUGUCGCUUUAAAAUUUAAAUGAUGACCGUUGUUGUAAUAAAGGUAAUCAAAAUCUCCACCUGUCAAUAUAUAGCUUUGAUGAGAAAUAAAAGAUGUCUCUCUCCUCCGCAUAGAGGGCUAAUGUUCUUCUGGAUCACCAGCUCUCUCCUUCAUUUAUACUUCCUCUAUAAAUCGUAUCGUGACUCUCUCUCUCUCUCUCUCUCUCUAGAUUCCAUUAUAUCUCUACUUUGUCAACCGAAACAACAUUGGCGUCGACCUCUCCUUCCUUCAGCAAGGAGGAAAAAAGAUUCAACCGGCUGUGACGUUUCAAACAAAAAAGCUCCAUGAGUCCGUAUUCUGAUGAUCUUACAUCAAAAAGUGACAACGUGCUUCUGAAGGAGACCCUUUGCCUGCCACCAACCCUCACAUAGAGACCUUUUGCUUCAGGGAAGCUAGCUAGUGCUUUGACCAGGUCGUCGUGUCAAGCAAAAGACAUCAACACACAAGGAUCCGACUCCAUAUGACUUCUAUAGUCCACAACAAAAUGCUUACGAAUCUUCAAGUCGUGAUUGUGAAGGAUGAUUACUUUGAUCGGAUGAUGCCUUCGUUCUUCACUCGUUUUCUGUUAAUCAGCUCUAAACGAAGGUUUCAUUCAUUUACAUUAUGGCACGGCAAUAGAGACCACUGUUGUCUCGGUUUGAAGCUUGAGUUUCACCGGAGCUAUUUUCAGCGUUACUUAACUUAUUUCAUCUGCUUUACUCGUCGCCGUCGCUUCACCUUCACAUCUCCUCUCCGCCGCUCAUCUCUCAAUGGUUACGGGUUCGCCGGAUCUGCUCAUUUUAAGAAUGGGUUCACCGGAUUUCUGUUUGUCACAUAACCGGAUCUCUGUAUGUAUGUAUAUGCGUAGGAAUAUUCAUAUUGUGUAUAUAUGUGUAUGUAUAUGCUUA